rnacentral:rRNA from 1 species
AGCGUACACGGUGGAUGCCCUGGCAGUCAGAGGCGAUGAAGGACGUGCUAAUCUGCGAUAAGCGUCGGUAAGGUGAUAUGAACCGUUAUAACCGGCGAUUUCCGAAUGGGGAAACCCAGUGUGUUUCGACACACUAUCAUUAACUGAAUCCAUAGGUUAAUGAGGCGAACCGGGGGAACUGAAACAUCUAAGUACCCCGAGGAAAAGAAAUCAACCGAGAUUCCCCCAGUAGCGGCGAGCGAACGGGGAGCAGCCCAGAGCCUGAAUCAGUGUGUGUGUUAGUGGAAGCGUCUGGAAAGGCGCGCGAUACAGGGUGACAGCCCCGUACACAAAAAUGCACAUGCUGUGAGCUCGAUGAGUAGGGCGGGACACGUGGUAUCCUGUCUGAAUAUGGGGGGACCAUCCUCCAAGGCUAAAUACUCCUGACUGACCGAUAGUGAACCAGUACCGUGAGGGAAAGGCGAAAAGAACCCCGGCGAGGGGAGUGAAAAAGAACCUGAAACCGUGUACGUACAAGCAGUGGGAGCACGCUUAGGCGUGUGACUGCGUACCUUUUGUAUAAUGGGUCAGCGACUUAUAUUCUGUAGCAAGGUUAACCGAAUAGGGGAGCCGAAGGGAAACCGAGUCUUAACUGGGCGUUAAGUUGCAGGGUAUAGACCCGAAACCCGGUGAUCUAGCCAUGGGCAGGUUGAAGGUUGGGUAACACUAACUGGAGGACCGAACCGACUAAUGUUGAAAAAUUAGCGGAUGACUUGUGGCUGGGGGUGAAAGGCCAAUCAAACCGGGAGAUAGCUGGUUCUCCCCGAAAGCUAUUUAGGUAGCGCCUCGUGAAUUCAUCUCCGGGGGUAGAGCACUGUUUCGGCAAGGGGGUCAUCCCGACUUACCAACCCGAUGCAAACUGCGAAUACCGGAGAAUGUUAUCACGGGAGACACACGGCGGGUGCUAACGUCCGUCGUGAAGAGGGAAACAACCCAGACCGCCAGCUAAGGUCCCAAAGUCAUGGUUAAGUGGGAAACGAUGUGGGAAGGCCCAGACAGCCAGGAUGUUGGCUUAGAAGCAGCCAUCAUUUAAAGAAAGCGUAAUAGCUCACUGGUCGAGUCGGCCUGCGCGGAAGAUGUAACGGGGCUAAACCAUGCACCGAAGCUGCGGCAGCGACGCUUAUGCGUUGUUGGGUAGGGGAGCGUUCUGUAAGCCUGUGAAGGUGUGCUGUGAGGCAUGCUGGAGGUAUCAGAAGUGCGAAUGCUGACAUAAGUAACGAUAAAGCGGGUGAAAAGCCCGCUCGCCGGAAGACCAAGGGUUCCUGUCCAACGUUAAUCGGGGCAGGGUGAGUCGACCCCUAAGGCGAGGCCGAAAGGCGUAGUCGAUGGGAAACAGGUUAAUAUUCCUGUACUUGGUGUUACUGCGAAGGGGGGACGGAGAAGGCUAUGUUGGCCGGGCGACGGUUGUCCCGGUUUAAGCGUGUAGGCUGGUUUUCCAGGCAAAUCCGGAAAAUCAAGGCUGAGGCGUGAUGACGAGGCACUACGGUGCUGAAGCAACAAAUGCCCUGCUUCCAGGAAAAGCCUCUAAGCAUCAGGUAACAUCAAAUCGUACCCCAAACCGACACAGGUGGUCAGGUAGAGAAUACCAAGGCGCUUGAGAGAACUCGGGUGAAGGAACUAGGCAAAAUGGUGCCGUAACUUCGGGAGAAGGCACGCUGAUAUGUAGGUGAAGUCCCUUGCGGAUGGAGCUGAAAUCAGUCGAAGAUACCAGCUGGCUGCAACUGUUUAUUAAAAACACAGCACUGUGCAAACACGAAAGUGGACGUAUACGGUGUGACGCCUGCCCGGUGCCGGAAGGUUAAUUGAUGGGGUUAGCGGUAACGCGAAGCUCUUGAUCGAAGCCCCGGUAAACGGCGGCCGUAACUAUAACGGUCCUAAGGUAGCGAAAUUCCUUGUCGGGUAAGUUCCGACCUGCACGAAUGGCGUAAUGAUGGCCAGGCUGUCUCCACCCGAGACUCAGUGAAAUUGAACUCGCUGUGAAGAUGCAGUGUACCCGCGGCAAGACGGAAAGACCCCGUGAACCUUUACUAUAGCUUGACACUGAACAUUGAGCCUUGAUGUGUAGGAUAGGUGGGAGGCUUUGAAGUGUGGACGCCAGUCUGCAUGGAGCCGACCUUGAAAUACCACCCUUUAAUGUUUGAUGUUCUAACGUUGACCCGUAAUCCGGGUUGCGGACAGUGUCUGGUGGGUAGUUUGACUGGGGCGGUCUCCUCCUAAAGAGUAACGGAGGAGCACGAAGGUUGGCUAAUCCUGGUCGGACAUCAGGAGGUUAGUGCAAUGGCAUAAGCCAGCUUGACUGCGAGCGUGACGGCGCGAGCAGGUGCGAAAGCAGGUCAUAGUGAUCCGGUGGUUCUGAAUGGAAGGGCCAUCGCUCAACGGAUAAAAGGUACUCCGGGGAUAACAGGCUGAUACCGCCCAAGAGUUCAUAUCGACGGCGGUGUUUGGCACCUCGAUGUCGGCUCAUCACAUCCUGGGGCUGAAGUAGGUCCCAAGGGUAUGGCUGUUCGCCAUUUAAAGUGGUACGCGAGCUGGGUUUAGAACGUCGUGAGACAGUUCGGUCCCUAUCUGCCGUGGGCGCUGGAGAACUGAGGGGGGCUGCUCCUAGUACGAGAGGACCGGAGUGGACGCAUCACUGGUGUUCGGGUUGUCAUGCCAAUGGCACUGCCCGGUAGCUAAAUGCGGAAGAGAUAAGUGCUGAAAGCAUCUAAGCACGAAACUUGCCCCGAGAUGAGUUCU